AAAAACUCCGGUGGUAUACGAUGGAUCCGCGUCUGAUUAGCUGGUUGGCGGGGUAAAGGCCCACCAAGGCGACGAUCAGUAGCCGGCCUGAGAGGGUGAACGGCCACAUUGGGACUGAGACACGGCCCAAACUCCUACGGGAGGCAGCAGUGGGGAAUAUUGCACAAUGGGGGAAACCCUGAUGCAGCGACGCCGCGUGAGUGAAGAAGUAUUUCGGUACGUAAAGCUCUAUCAGCAGGGAAGAAAAUGACGGUACCUGACUAAGAAGCCCCGGCUAACUACGUGCCAGCAGCCGCGGUAAUACGUAGGGGGCAAGCGUUAUCCGGAUUUACUGGGUGUAAAGGGAGCGUAGACGGCAGCGCAAGUCUGGAGUGAAAUCCCAUGGCUUAACCAUGGAACUGCUUUGGAAACUGUGCAGCUGGAGUGCAGGAGAGGUAAGCGGAAUUCCUAGUGUAGCGGUGAAAUGCGUAGAUAUUAGGAGGAACACCAGUGGCGAAGGCGGCUUACUGGACUGUAACUGACGUUGAGGCUCGAAAGCGUGGGGAGCAAACAGGAUUAGAUACCCUGGUAGUCCACGCUGUAAACGAUGAUUACUAGGUGUUGGG
rnacentral:rRNA from 1 species